AAUAUAUUUUAUUAUAGUAAUUAUAUUUAUUAUUUAAAUAGUUUAUAUGUAAAUUUUUGUGGGGAAUAUUAUAAUUUAAAAAAUAAUUUAUUUAUAUUCGCAGUAGUUAAUUUUAUUUAUUUAAGAAAUUAUGAGUUAGGAAUUUAAUUUAGUAUAGGUAAUUUUUGUGCCAGCAAUCGCGGUUAUACAAAAUAUGCGAGUAAAUUAUAUUAGAAGGAGUUAUAUAUAUAUAUAUAUAUAUUAAUUGUAUAUUUAGAUUUUAGUUUAUCAUUAUUAAGUAAAAUUUUUAUAUAUUAUAAAGUUUAAUUAGAUUUUAUAUAGACCUUAUAAAUUUUAUAAAAGACUAGGAUUAGAUACCCUAUUAUUAAGAUAUGAGUAAGAGUUUUUAGAUUAGUAGUAAAUAUAUUUAUGAAAUUAAAAUAAUUUGGCGGUAUUUUAGUCUAUUCAGAGGAAUUUGUUUUAUAAUCGAUAAUCCUCGUUUUAUCUUACUUAUUUUAUUUAAUUUGUAUAUCGUUGUCAUUAGAAUAUUUUAUUAGAAAAUUAAUUUUCUUUAAUUAUUUAAAAUUUUAUGUCAAAUCAAGGUGCAGUUUAUAUUUAAGUUAAAAUGAAUUACAUUAAUAUAUAGUUAAAUGGAUUAAAUAGUGAAAUAGUUUAUGAAGGUGGAUUUGAGAGUAAAAUUGAUAAUUAUAUUAAUUUGAUUAUAGCUCUAAGAUAUGUACAUAUCGCCCGUCGCUCUUAUUAUUAAAGUAAGAUAAGUCGUAACAAAGUAGAGUUACUGGAAAGUGUCUCUAGAUAAU
rnacentral:ncRNA from 1 species